CAUAUGGCCACAAACCCAUGGGGACAACCACAGGCCUUCUGGAGUGCCAAGGGAAUUCCAUGUGAGGAGUCCAGCACUCACAGGAAUCCAACAAGUCCCUGCCAGCCAGAGCACCUUCAUUGCUACUGUGGUAUUUUGAGCAAAUGUCUUUUCUUCAGGUUCAAAUUGAGAAAACUUGAGCCUAUGAAUCUAAACUCAUCUGUGAUGGUCUGCAGCUGGGAGCAAGCAGAUCAGUGUCAGUCCCUUUGCAGCCGUUGGCUGGGAGCCUGCAUGUUCCCUGGAAUGAUAUUUGAAACAUGUCACCCUAGCCGUGCCUUCGCUCUGGACUGGGAGGCGAGUCAGUCAGAAUCUGCAUUAUGGAAUGUUUUGGAUGACAAGCUUGUAUUUGCAAAUGUACACACCCUGUGGGAGGUGCUCUGUACAUACGCUGAGAUACUGUACAUAAAAUUGCCUCUGAAUCCCAAUCAUCUGAAAACCGUGUCCUCAGCCUUUGAUACCUUCAGCUGUUUUAUGAAAGUCCUCCAAGUGGAUGAAAGUAUCAACAACCGGAACAAGAGUUUUUCAUUGCCCUAUUUGAGAAGAGCUGCGUGAACGACUUUUAUAUUCAGGAUAGAGAUACAUUCAUCAAUCCAACCACCAGGAGCCUCACUGUAAGUCUAAACCGAGUUUAGCUGCUGUCUUGGGGGUGAUUUAGAACCUGCUGUUGAAUUAUAAGUGAUUUGGUUUUGUUGGUUUGGUUUGGUUUUUAAAAGCUGCCCAUAAAAAUGAAAAAAGAGAAAGAAAAGAAAUAUGCCUACAGAUUCCUGUUAGGAUAGUAAACAGUGGCUGGUUAUUUACCCUGUAUAAACCACACGCUUUCUUAGAAUCUAUUUAGGUUUACUUCAUCCUUUCUCAGAUCAAGUAUCAAGUAAGGGACAGUUUUAAAAAAAAAUUCAGGAUUAACUGGCUUGUGAGCUCCGGGAUCUGCAAGGCAGCUUUCCCUUCCCAUGGUGUAAGUCAAAUGGCAGAAAUGAAAUAAAGCACUUCAUGUAUCCUCCGGUGUUAACAGGAAAAGGUGAGUCUUCUUGACCUUGUUACUUCCUGGGUAAAAUGAAGAUAAUAUGUCAGGAGUCGACAAGCCCAU